rnacentral:rRNA from 1 species
CCUACGGGUGGCAGCAGUGAGGAAUAUUGGUCAAUGGGCGGGAGCCUGAACCAGCCAAGUCGCGUGCGGGAAGACGGUCCUAUGGAUUGUAAACCUCUUUUGGCGGGGAGCAAUGCCGGGCACGCGUGCCCGGAGGGAGAGUACCCGCAGAAUAAGCAUCGGCUAACUCCGUGCAAGCAGCCGGGGUAAUCGGGAGGAUGCGAGCUUUAUCCGGAUUAUUUGGGUUAAAAGGGUGCGUAGGCGGAUUUUUAAGUCAGCGGUAAAAUGUGCGGGCUCAACCCGGGCCGGCCGUUGAGACUGGGGAUCUUGAGUGGGCGAGAAGUAUGCGGAAUGCGUGGUGUAGCGGUGAAAUGCAUAGAUAUCACGCAGAACUCCGAUUGCGAAGGCAGCAUACCGGCGCCCGACUGACGCUGAGGCACGAAAGCGUGGGGAUCGAACAGGAUUAGAUACCCUUGUAGUC